AUUGAACGCUGGCGGCAGGCCUAACACAUGCAAGUCGAGGGGCAUCACUAGGUAGCAAUACUGAGGUGGCGACCGGCGCACGGGUGAGUAACACGUAUCCAACCUGCCGUUUACUCUUGGAUAGCCUUCUGAAAAGGAGAUUAAUACAAGAUGGUAUCAUGAGAUCACAUGUUCACAUGAUUAAAGAAUUUCGGUAAACGAUGGGGAUGCGUUCCAUUAGAUAGUAGGCGGGGUAACGGCCCACCUAGUCUACGAUGGAUAGGGGUUCUGAGAGGAAGGUCCCCCACACUGGUACUGAGACACGGACCAGACUCCUACGGGAGGCAGCAGUGAGGAAUAUUGGUCAAUGGACGCAAGUCUGAACCAGCCAAGUAGCGUGAAGGAUGAAGGUUCUAUGGAUUGUAAACUUCUUUUAUAUGGGAAUAAAACCACUUACGUGUAGGUGUCUGUAUGUACCAUAUGAAUAAGGACCGGCUAACUCCGUGCCAGCAGCCGCCGUAAGAC
rnacentral:rRNA from 1 species